CACGUAGGGCGCAAGCGUUGUCCGGAAUUAUUGGGCGUAAAGAGCUCGUAGGCGGUCUGUUGCGUCCGCUGUGAAAACCCGGGGCUUAACCCUGGGCUGGCAGUGGAUACGGACAGACUAGAGGUAGGUAGGGGGAGAAUGGAAUUCCCGGUGUAGCGGUGAAAUGCGCAGAUAUCGGGGAGGAACACCGGUGGUGUAGACGGCUCUCUGGACCGUAACUGACACUGAGACACGAAAGCGUGGGUAGCAAACAGG
rnacentral:rRNA from 1 species